rnacentral:rRNA from 1 species
UGCAGUCGAACGAUGAAGCCCAGCUUGCUGGGUGGAUUAGUGGCGAACGGGUGAGUAACACGUGAGCAACCUGCCCCUGACUCUGGGAUAAGCGCUGGAAACGGCGUCUAAUACUGGAUACGAACAAGAAUCGCAUGGUUACUUGUUGGAAAGAUUUUUCGGUUGGGGAUGGGCUCGCGGCCUAUCAGCUUGUUGGUGAGGUAAUGGCUCACCAAGGCGUCGACGGGUAGCCGGCCUGAGAGGGUGACCGGCCACACUGGGACUGAGACACGGCCCAGACUCCUACGGGAGGCAGCAGUGGGGAAUAUUGCACAAUGGGCGCAAGCCUGAUGCAGCAACGCCGCGUGAGGGAUGACGGCCUUCGGGUUGUAAACCUCUUUUAGCAGGGAAGAAGCGAGAGUGACGGUACCUGCAGAAAAAGCACCGGCUAACUACGUGCCAGCAGCCGCGGUAAUACGUAGGGUGCAAGCGUUAUCCGGAAUUAUUGGGCGUAAAGAGCUCGUAGGCGGUUUGUCGCGUCUGCUGUGAAAUCUGGGGGCUCAACCCCCAGCCUGCAGUGGGUACGGGCAGACUAGAGUGCGGUAGGGGAGAUUGGAAUUCCUGGUGUAGCGGUGGAAUGCGCAGAUAUCAGGAGGAACACCGAUGGCGAAGGCAGAUCUCUGGGCCGUAACUGACGCUGAGGAGCGAAAGGGUGGGGAGCAAACAGGCUUAGAUACCCUGGUAGUCCACCCCGUAAACGUUGGGAACUAGUUGUGGGGUCCAUUCCACGGAUUCCGUGACGCAGCUAACGCAUUAAGUUCCCCGCCUGGGGAGUACGGCCGCAAGGCUAAAACUCAAAGGAAUUGACGGGGACCCGCACAAGCGGCGGAGCAUGCGGAUUAAUUCGAUGCAACGCGAAGAACCUUACCAAGGCUUGACAUAUACGAGAACGGGCCAGAAAUGGUCAACUCUUUGGACACUCGUAAACAGGUGGUGCAUGGUUGUCGUCAGCUCGUGUCGUGAGAUGUUGGGUUAAGUCCCGCAACGAGCGCAACCCUCGUUCUAUGUUGCCAGCACGUAAUGGUGGGAACUCAUGGGAUACUGCCGGGGUCAACUCGGAGGAAGGUGGGGAUGACGUCAAAUCAUCAUGCCCCUUAUGUCUUGGGCUUCACGCAUGCUACAAUGGCCGGUACAAUGGGCUGCAAUACCGUGAGGUGGAGCGAAUCCCAAAAAGCCGGUCCCAGUUCGGAUUGAGGUCUGCAACUCGACCUCAUGAAGUCGGAGUCGCUAGUAAUCGCAGAUCAGCAACGCUGCGGUGAAUACGUUCCCGGGUCUUGUACACACCGCCCGUCAAGUCAUGAAAGUCGGUAACACCUGAAGCCGGUGGCCUAACCCCUUGUGGGAGGGAG